UGGGGAAUUUUGGACAAUGGGGGAAACCCUGAUCCAGCCAUCCCGCGUGUGCGGUGAAGGCCUUCGGGUUGUAAAGCACUUUUUGGCAGGAAAGAAACGUCGCGGGUUAAUACCCCGCGAAACUGACGGUACCUGCAGAAUAAGCACCGGCUAACUACGUGCCAGCAGCCGCGGUAAUACGUAGGGUGCAAGCGUUAAUCGGAAUUACUGGGCGUAAAGCGUGCGCAGGCGGUUCGGAAAGAAAGAUGUGAAAUCCCAGAGCUUAACUUUGGAACUGCAUUUUUAACUACCGGGCUAGAGUGUGUCAGAGGGAGGUGGAAUUCCGCGUGUAGCAGUGAAAUGCGUAGAUAUGCGGAGGAACACCGAUGGCGAAGGCAGCCUCCGUGGGCAUAACACUGACGCUCAUGCACGGAAGCGUGGGGAGCAAACAGGAUUAGAUA
rnacentral:rRNA from 1 species